GAGCCCAAACACACAUGUUUCAAUCAGGCUAGAAUGAAGGUUUAUACUGGUCUCCAUAAAGUCCUGACCAUAACCACUCAAGAACCUGUGGACCGAUAAGGAAACAAGUAAAACAAAUUUAGUUGAACUGCAUCAAUUCUGUCAAGAGGUAAAUCAAAGAUAAACCAGAAGCUUGUGGAUGGAAACCAAAAGGGCAUAAACAAGGUUUAAAAUGGUCAAAGGGCAUUUAACCAAAUAUUAACAUUGUUGUCAGUAUAUUUUUGACCCCACAAAUUUCAUCAUAUUUUCAGAAGAUGUAUAAUAAAUCUACGAAACAACCAAAAUACACAAUCGUUUUCUUGUGACAGAUUCAUGUGUUGUUAUGAUUCCAUCAUAGACAUUUCAAAGUUCUUGGAGUUCCAGGAGUCAUUGGAAACUCAAGCCUCUCAUGAUAUAUGUGGUCUUUACAGGUCUGUGUAAACUUUUGUUUAUGACUGUAUCAGCCCAGCAGGUUUUUUCAGCAGAAAAUAACAGCUGAUGUAGUAUCACAUCAUUACCUACACAUGUAAGUCUCAUCUGAUGAAAGCUGCAAGAAAUACUGCAGCAUACUGAGGUUCAUUAGACGGGAUGAUGAACUUUCUUUGAGCAGCAGUAAAAGUCACUCUGUCGACCAUGAAUAACUUUGUAUUUUUAGUUACCUAGUAUGAAAGAGCCCUGCGACAGACUGGCGACCUGUCCAGGGUGUCCCCUGCCUUCGCUCGAGUCAGCUGGGAUAGACUCAAGCACCCCCUGCAACCCUAGUGAGGAUAAAGCGGUGCAUGGAGAAUGGAUGGAUAGUAUGAAAGAACACAUGAGCUACAGCCCAAGUACGACAUAACUGGCUAUCACUAAAUCAAAGGAAGUUGGACAACAACCAACUCACACACCAGCCAACCUCCAGCAGGUCAACUCACUGCAGCAGAAAGUAAGUGUAGUGGUAGAAAUGCUUAAGUUUUGUAUUAUUAACAGUGAUGUUGGUGCAUGUUCAAUGAAGGAAUGAGGUGAAGUUAAAGUUGUCAACCUUUAUUUGUUAUUCAUGCACAACAUAGGAUACACACACUCCUCCAAAUAAAGAAUAAUGAUGCAAA